AAAAAGCCUGCCUUUAAUAUACACUCAACUGAACUUUAAAUCUCCAGGUCAGUUCGUAUUAUCCAGAAACUACAUCCAAGAACUAUAACACACUACUCGAACGAACAAUUAGCAUAAAAAUAGAAAACAUAUACUCCUUGAGUUAACAGGGGUCUCCUUUCGCCGUGGCCACAAAGCAUAGACUUGAUUCAGAACAAACCAACACGGAAAACUCGAGUCCGAAGAUAGAAAUGAAGACGCAAAAGAACUGCAGAGCUUCUGGGUUGGCUUCCAGAGAGUUGGAAAGUUAUAAUUCUGGCAUGAAGAACGUCGGUGCGGAUUAAGUUUCUUGCAGUUCGGUGCCCACCGAUGCCCAAAAGGUGUGUUUUAAACACUGUGAGGCAUUUGAAAGUAAAUUCUUUUGAAGAAGAAACACAUACAAUUCAUUCUUCUAUGUUUUUCUUAAGAAAACUCUGUUAGUAACUUACUCUUACACAGUGUCGACUUUCUUCUGUCACUGAUUAUUUACAAAAUUAAUUAAUAAAAAUUCAACCAUCUUUGUCUUUCUCAUUUACGAUUCAUUCCCCAACUUGAUUAUCUACGUUCUUAUAUUUGAAUUACAGAAACCCAAAAUUGAU
rnacentral:lncRNA from 1 species